rnacentral:rRNA from 1 species
UACGGAAGGGGCUAGCGUUGUUCGGAAUCACUGGGCGUAAAGCGCGCGCAGGCAGCACGAUCAGUGCGGCGUGAAAGUCCUGGGCUCAACCUGGGGACGGCGCUGCAGACUGUCGUGCUGGAGUCCGGGAGAGGGUGGUGGAAUUCCGAGUGUAGAGGUGAAAUUCGUAGAUAUUCGCAAGAACACCAGUGGCGAAGGCGGCUCACUGGCCCGAUACUGACGCUGAGGUGCGAAAGCGUGGGGAGCAAACAGG